GACGAACGCUGGCGGCGUGCUUAACACAUGCAAGUCGAACGGUAAGGCCCUUCGGGGUACACGAGUGGCGAACGGGUGAGUAACACGUGGGUGAUCUGCCCUGCACUUCGGGAUAAGCCUGGGAAACUGGGUCUAAUACCGGAUAGGACUCCUGGCUUCAUGGUUGGGGGUGGAAAGCUUUUGCGGUGUGGGAAGGGCCCGCGGCCUAUCAGCUUGUUGGUGGGGUAAUGGCCUACCAAGGCGACGACGGGUAGCCGGCCUGAGGGGGUGACCGGUCACACUGGGACUGAGAUACGGCCCAGACUCCUACGGGAGGCAGCAGUGGGGAAUAUUGUACAAUGGGCGCAAGCCUGAUGCAGCGACGCCGCGUGAGGGAUGACGGCCUUCGGGUUGUAAACCUCUUUCAGCUAUGACGAAGCGCAAGUGACGGUAGUAGCAGAAGAAGGACCGGCCAACUACGUGCCAGCAGCCGCCGUAA
rnacentral:rRNA from 1 species